rnacentral:tRNA from 1 species
GGCGGUUUGUCCGAGUGGUUAAGGAGUUGGACUUGAAAUCCAAUGGGCUAUGCCCGCGCAGGUUCGAACCCUGCAGCCGUCG